UACUUAGCCCCGCAACGGGGCAGGGUUGAACCCCACCAGGCCCAAAAGGGAGCAACGGUAGACCUGCUAUCUCGGGUGCGGGGUCUAACUCAAA
rnacentral:SRP_RNA from 1 species